rnacentral:rRNA from 1 species
UACGGAGGGGGCGAGCGUUAUUCGGAAUUAUUGGGCGUAAAGGGCGCGUAGGCGGCUUCAUAAGUCAAAGGUGAAAUCCCUCGGCUCAACUGAGGAACUGCCUUUGAAACUGUGAGGCUUGAGGCCGGGAGGGGGUAGCGGAAUUCCCAGUGUAGCGGUGAAAUGCGUAGAUACUGGGAGGAACACCAGUGGCGAAGGCGGCUACCUGGACCGGAACUGACGCUGAGGCGCGAAAGCGUGGGUAGCAAACAGG